rnacentral:tRNA from 1 species
UCCCUAGUGGCUCAGUUGGUAAAGCAUCUGGUUUCAAUGCAGGAGAUCCAGGUUUGAUCCAUGGGUUGGGAA